rnacentral:tRNA from 1 species
GCCGACGUAGCUCAGUUUGGUAGAGCAGCUGUUUCGUAAACAGCAGGCCGGAGGUUCAAGUCCUCUCGUCGGCU